rnacentral:rRNA from 1 species
CAGGCGUUGGGGAAGGUAGCGCGCUAGUAGCGUCUUUUUUUUAUCUUUGACCGGCGGGAGUGGAAGGAAACGGACGUCGGGGCUACGGAAGGAAAGAACGCGGCGGUGGUGUGGCGUGCUGCGGGCCGUCGGGGUAGAGGAGGGACAUGGAACGGCAGCUCAUCCGCCUUCGAGGAGGCAGUGGAGGAGGUGCUAGUAGAACAGGAGAGGGGACAAGCUCUAGACUAACAGGAGGACGUGCGACUAAGGGGCGUUGUAGCGCCGGCGGGAUGUGGAUGUGCGCUCGGGCGGCGGCCGUGCCCUCGGACGGGCGGCAGUGGGGUUCGGGCGGAGACGACUCCGACAACGGUACACUCGGACGGCAGGGGCGCUCUUGGCCGAAGGCGACUCCUGAGGCGGUACGCUUGGGCGCCGGCGACGUGGUGCCCUCGGACGGGCGGCAGCGGGGUUCGGGCGGAGGCGACUCCGGCAACGGUACACUCGGGCGGCAGCGGCGCGCUUGGCCGAACUCGACUCCGUAGGCGGUGUUGUGCAAAAAAAGAAUUUUUCACGUCUAGGUUAUCCUGGCAUCCCAGACCAGACAUGACACCUACGACACUCGUGUACUACAAACACCAAUUGACUAAGCCUUCAAUGGUUUCCUCGAGGCCCACCCCCUAAAAUUAGUAUUUUCUACCAAGAAAAAGGCGAGCUUCAUUGUCAAGUCGCUGAAAUAAAGUUCCCGUAUACAAGAGUAACCAAUGGACUUCAGUCAAACGAGAACUAAAAUAGAAGUGAGUAACUAUCCAAUGUAUGCUUAGCUAAAGUAGUAUAAAACAUAACAGUAUACACUAAAUUAACCGAGUUCAACAGCCAUAAGCAGCUUAUUCCAAGAUGUUUAUAAAAGUCGUUAAUUGAGAUAUAUACCAACGGUCUGAUUCAACGUACUCGUUCUUACGUACAAAACGACGAAAAAAAACGUCUAAAAAUCAGUUACUUUAUUUACCAAUAUCCCUACAUACAAGCCAUAUUAACCUGACGUCAAGAUACUAGGGAUAGGUAACUCCAAACCGUUCAAUAUUUUUUUAUCCCACUUCCUCUUGUAGAUCGAGUGCUCCCCCGAAGUGUACCAGCGGCUAUAGGUUAUGGAAGUAAUAGCACUCCGCGAGUACACCUUCACGUUCGCCCUGAUACUCCUUAGUGUCUUAUUGCUCCUUAGCUUCAAGUAUAAACCCUUCCUUUUAUAAUGUGAUUUAUUUUUUCAGUUGCUACACGGUUUUACGAUAAUACCUCUACACUUGACACUAGGUACGGAAACAUGUAUCGUUAGUGGACAUUCAUGGUCAAACAACCAACGUGGUAGAAUAAAGCACGGUAUUAAAUGUGAAGGUAAAAGACACCUCUCUGUUUUAAAACAAUUAAACAGAGCCUGGUAAAAAACAAGUAUCGACCGACCGAAUUCUUACAAACUUAAAAAAAACAAUUGCAGUUU